rnacentral:tRNA from 1 species
GGGGAUUUAGCUCAGUGGUAGAGCGCUUGCCUAGGAAGCGCAAGGCCCUGGGUUCAAUCCCCAGCUCCGAAAAAAAGAACCAAAAAAAAAAAUACUAGCCAUUCUUCCAGAAAGCCUGGGUUCAAUUCCCAGCAUCCACA